rnacentral:lncRNA from 1 species
AACAACAAAGAAGCUGUUGUUGACAGCACAGGAAGAAGAGGAAGGAUGUAAGGCAGGAGACUUAUCAACAGUCAUGUGGGGCUGUGGAGAUGGAUGGCUCAGUGGUUAAGGGCUUCCUCCAGGAAGACACACCAGGGAGCCUUCCCUCCUGAAGCUUGUUCCCAAGUCAGGACAGGGCACCUGGUCACAGAUGGCAGCCAAGAAGCUGGUUUCAGAGGCCAGGCUGGUGCCCAGCAUGGAAACAAAGGGCUUCAGCAGCCUUCCUGAAACUAUAAGACAAGUUGGAGAAGGGACACCAGUGCUACGGAUGACGGAACCGAGCAGUGGAAGAGCCGCCUGCCUUGUUGGCUCUCCCAGGACGAAUCACUUCCUGCCCAAGAACAGUACAACUGUGAGAACAGAACCCGUUAGCCGUUUGAGAGCAAGUGAGCUUGGCUCCUUUGGGAGCCACUGAUAUUUAAUAAAUGUUGCUUUAUGUCCAGCUGA